rnacentral:rRNA from 1 species
CACUACAGCCAUGCCACCCUGACCAUGCCCGAUCUCAUCUGAUCUUGGAAGCUAAGCAGAUUUGGGCCUGGUUAGUACUUGAAUGGGAGACCACGUAGAAAGACCAGGUGCUGCAGGCA